UCCCUCCCUCCUUCCCUCCCUCCGCCGGGUCGCCCGCUCCUCGUGAGAAACCAAACGCUGAUGUUCCAUUAGCUUCAUCUUCCCCGCUUACGCCAAAGUGAGGAAGACUUGCUAAUUAAUUUACAUACGAGGGAACGAUGUCUGAAGGAAGGAAAAUAAACCUCGUUGCACCUGCUCCGCCGAGACUUGUCAUCUGAAUGUGGAGGAGAGCUAUAAAUCAUGUAAAGUGUUCGCGGUGGAGCCGGCUUCUUCUGAGAGCUGUAGGAUUAUGUAUCCAAAUGCUGCGUUUAUAUUUCCCACUAGGAAAAGACUGAAACUCAGAUGCUUCAGAAGCUUGCUGUGUGCUUACCACAGGUUCUGCCAACCAUCUCAAGAGGGGACUCGCCUAUUCUUUCAUUAAUUGAGCAAAACAUUAUCUUGAAAUAAUUAUUCCUCUCCACAUGGCCUUCCUACUUGUGUCAGCUUAUCUUCUGCUGACUCACGCUCGAGGUGCUCCUGUUGAGAAUGGGGCACUGUUGGAAACACUGAAGUCACAAGUGGGAUUAUUCAGCAAUAAAAGUGAACACUAUUCAGCACAGGUGAGACCUCCUGGCACGAGCCGACAAAUACCUCAGACAAUCAUCAUAGGAGUUCGUAAAGGAGGGACCAGGGCUUUGCUGGAAAUGUUGGAUAUUCACCCUAACAUUGUGGUGGCAGCUACAGAAGUCCACUUCUUUGACUGGGAUGAAAAUUAUGUGAAAGGAAUAGACUGGUAUAGAAAUCUGAUGCCAUUUUCUUAUGGAAAUCAAAUUACAAUUGAGAAAACACCAGGCUAUUUUACAUCACCACAGGCUCCAGGAAGAAUUCAUGACAUGAAUAGCUCCAUUAAACUGCUGCUCAUUCUAAGAGAUCCCACUGAGAGAGUUAUAUCUGACUAUACCCAAGUAUAUUACAACAGAGUAGAAAGUCACAAGCCUGUUCAGCUCUUUGAAGAUAUUGUUAUUAAGAAUGGAGUGCUUAACACCAAAUACAAAGCUAUUCAGAGAAGUCUAUAUGAUGUCCAUAUGGAAAAGUGGCUUAAGCAUUUCAGUUUGGAUCAGAUUCACAUAGUGGAUGGCAAUACUUUGAUCAAGGACCCUCUUCCUGAGUUACAAAAAGUUGAAAGAUUUCUAAAUCUUCCUUCCAGAAUUAUGUCUUCUAAUUUUUAUUUUAACCAAACCAAGGGAUUCUACUGCAUCAGAAGUGAUGGGAGGGAGAGAUGUCUACAUGAGUCCAAAGGGCGUCCUCAUCCUCUUGUUAACAGCACUGUCUUAGAGCAAUUGUAUUCUUACUUCAGAGAGCACAAUGCAAAAUUUUACAGGAUGGUUAAUCAUUCCUUUGACUGGCAUUAACGCAUUUGGAGUCAAUGCUUCCUAAAAAGGGCCUGAGACAAACUUUCAGACAUAUCUUUCUAAACUGUAAAGACUUGUAUUAUGAGAAUUAACAUCCUGGUUACAUGCUUCAUUGGAAUAACAUCUGUUAACUCAUUGAAAUGGCACUCUUUAUGUUGGGAAAAAUAAGCUUUAUGUAUUUGUAUGAUUACUGGGAGUCAUAUCCUGAUCUUCUUUCUCUCACAUGCAAAUACAUUAACUUCAGCAGACUUAGCAAAGAGUUAUCUCUACAAGAGUUCUGCUUUUUUGGAAAAACACAUCUAACUGUAAAAAAAUGUAAAUAUUGGAAAUAGUAUUAUUCUAACUGUUCUGUAUUUUUUGUUGUUAUUAUUUUUUAUAUUCCACAUGAUAGUGGUGUUGAUUUAUAGAACUUUUCAUAAAGUAAGUUUAAACUGUAUGUUAAAAUAGGGGCACACAUAGUAGCUCCAAGAAAUAAAUCGUCAUCUUUAAUAUGCUGAAGUACUUAAUUAAUAAUAGAAGGAAUCUAUUUCACCUGUAAUUUUGAAUAGGUGAUCUAGAAGCUACCUGUCUGUAUAACAUGAGUAUUAAACCACACUCUUACUGUCUUGGGUUUGCAAAAAAAAUUUUUGAAGUAAGAAUAUGAACUAUUUGAAGAAAGUUAAAGUGAGAGUUCUGAAUGUAAAGAAACUAAAAUAUCCCAGGAACACUGAUACUCUAUACACUAAAAAAAAAUCAAUACCAAAAAAUUAUUAAUAAUUAAUGAGCAACUGUACAAAUACUUGAUUGCAUAAAUUAUGUCACUUUGCUCUUGAAUGGAAAAGCUCUUAGUACUACCAUAUGAAUUAUGUUUGUACUCUGUGACUAGUUAUUCUAUUGUUCUCCUGAUUUUGGUUUAUAUAACUCCAUUGGCAAAUGGCUCUUGUUAAAAAAAAAAUAUUCUUUUCUUGCCCCCUGAAGCAUGGUGUAGUUUUAUUUUGCCAUUUCUGGUGCAGAUCACGGGAUAGUCCCAACAUUAAAGUAACCUCUUGUUGUGUGACACACACAGACACAGUGUUCAGCAUGACAUACUCACAUUAUAUGUAAGACCCACACCCAUUUUUAACCCUGCAUCAAGAUUUUAUUUUCAGGGGGUUUUUUAACAGUAUUGUGCUGAUUUUUCUGCUUUUUCACAUAAGCAUUUUAUUGCAUAUCAGUACCAAAGAGGAAAAUCAACUCUGAGCAUCAAACCCAACUGGACCCUGGUGAGGGUCCUGCAUCUGUGUCCUUCCACCUAAGUCACUGCUCAGCCUAAAGGAGUGUGUGUUCCUACCAUGGGAUUCUUCCACUUUCCAUAACAGGCAUCAAGUCUUUCUUGUCUGAAGUUUACAGCUAAUCUUUAAAUGAGCUGAAUGCAGGAGCACCAGCUAGCAGAAACUGUAUGCAUCUUUGAAAAUCCAAGUUCCUUUCUGGAAUUUACAUUUCAAGGAGAGCUGAGCUGUAUGGAUUAGUGAUGCACAUAUCUAUUUGAUUUGUUAUCACUCCUCAUUCCUGUUCAGCAUUUUGGGGAAGAACAGAGUUGAUGGAAUGUAUUUCAUGAUUAUUUUAGAGUUUACUUGUAUCAUGAGAAGUAUAUUAAGUAUGAAUAAGUAUAUGAAUAAAAUCUGGGUGAGGGGUUAGUUUGUUUGGUUUGCUUUUAUAUAAACCAUGAUUCUCAUAAAAAAUUUUGUUUUGGUGAAUGGUCAAAAACUAUGCACCUUAACCUCUGCAAAACAGAGAUUAGACUGUAAUUUUACAUUUCAAACUUUCAAUCAGUUUCUCAUUUUUGGACUGAAAAAUACUCUUCUGUGCCGUCCUGAUCUUUUCCAUUGUUGCAGUCCUUAAGAAAACCCUCCUUCCCUCAUGCUCAGGGAGGGAAUCAGAUCAACCAAAUAGACAUUCUACUGAGCCACAGUUGAGUAACAGUAAAAUAAAAAGUUCUCAGUUUUUGACCCUUGGAAUUCAAAACUAGCCAAUUUUUUGGGAAGACCUGUAGGCUUACAAUCAGUAUGCAGGUGUUAUUAACGAGACAGUUCAUCGUUUAAGAAAUUAUAUAUAUCUCAUGGUUUUACACAACUGAUAGUAAAGCAGAAAUUACUUUUCUCUAAAUUGAUCAUCAAAUAAAUUUCACCUCAUUAUCUGAUACUCAAGUGUUGUUUGCAAAAGUAAAUUUCUUGUGGGAAGACCACUUGAAGAAGUCAUGCUGUUGUUUCAAAGAUUUUUGGGUGCAUCUGGGACAGGUGAUAUAAUUACAUGUGCAAGACUACUGCAGAAUUGAUGCUGGUUUGACCAGUUUUUGAUGUUUAACAUUCCAGAAAGACUAAGCUUUCACUUUAAAUACUCUUCCUUUCCUUUUUUAGGAAAAAUGCCAUUAUAGUUGUUUUGAUCUAGUAUUACAGAGAAUUAACCAUAUCAAGCAGCUGGAUCUGUUUAACCACAGUAAGCAGCACACAUUUAAUGUCCAGAUGAGUCUAAUACAACCUCCUUUUUUUUUUUGUGAUUUUUUUUUUAUUUUAUUUUAUCUAUAGAACAUAAAGGAAAUUACUAGGAAACUUAAAAGCUAGGAUUUUGCCCCCAUACUUAACUAAUGGGAAAGAAAUAACAAAGUUCUUCCAUUGCACUUUAACCCAUUAUUUUACCAGGAAAAGGGUUGGAUUUCUCCAUUGUAUACCCUGUGUCCAGGUGCUCAAAAACUUUGGACCUUGACUUCUGGUCUUUCACAAUUUAGCCUUGAAAGUUUAGCAUUUAGAGUCCCUCCUAAAGGAUACCUGUUAGAGCAGAGACAAUUUUUAAUUGUGGAGGACUUUACAGAGGGCACACACAUCAUUGCAUGCUGCUCCACGUCAGCUCCUUUGCUAUCCUCUUGAUACAAGACUGAUAAUCCUAUAAAGAUUAUCCAUUCAAGAACAAUGAUUGACUACUGUAGGGAAGUUUAUCCACGUAAAGAGUUUUCUAUCUUCAUGCAAAUGAAAAAUCUAAAAAAUAAAUUGUUUCUAUCAAAUUUUA